AUUGAACGCUGGCGGCAUGCCUAACACAUGCAAGUCGAACGGCAGCACAAUAAAGAUUUCGGUCUUUAUGGGUGGCGAGUGGCGGACGGGUGAGUAACGCGUAGGAAUCUGUCCUGGAGAGUGGGAUAACCCGAGGAAACUCGGGCUAAUACUGCAUGACAUUGAGAGAUCAAAAGCAGGGGACCGAAAGGCCUUGCGCUCUGGGGUGAGACUACGUCGGAGUAGCUAGUUGGUGGGGUAAAGGCCUACCAAGGCGACGAUCUGUAGCGGGUCUGAGAGGAUGAUCCGCCACACUGGGACUGAGACACGGGCCAGACUCCUACGGGAGGCAGCAGUGGGGAAUAUUGGACAAUGGGGGGAACCCUGAUCCAGCCAUGCCGCGUGUGUGAAGAAGGCCUUAUGGUUGUAAAGCACUUUAAGCGAGGAGGAGACUCUUUUGGUUAAUACCCAAGAUGAGUGGACGUUACUCGCAGAAUAAGCACCGGCUAACUCUGUGCCAGCCGCCGCGGUAA
rnacentral:rRNA from 1 species